GAUGAAUGCUGGCGGCGUGCCUAACACAUGCAAGUCGAGCGGCAGCGCGAGUAGUUUACUACUUGGCGGCGAGCGGCGGACGGAUGAGUAACGCGUGGGAACGUGCCCCAAAGUGAGGGAUAACGCACCGAAAGGUGUGCUAAUACCGCAUAUGAUCUUCGGAUUAAAGAGUUUAUUCGCUUUGGGAGCGGCCCGCGUCGGCUUAGGUAGUUGGUAGGGUAAUGGCCUACCAAGCCGACGAUCCGUAGCUGGUCUGAGAGGAUGACCAGCCAGACUGGAACUGAGACACGGUCCAGACUCCUACGGGAGGCAGCAGUGAGGAAUCUUCCACAAUGGGCGAAAGCCUGAUGGAGCAACGCCGCGUGCAGGAUGAAGGCCUUCGGGUUGUAAACUGCUUUUAUAAGUGAAGAAUAUGACGGUAACUUAUGAAUAAGCACCGGCUAACUACGUGCCAGCCGCCGCAGUAA
rnacentral:rRNA from 1 species